UCAGUUAGUAGCUUCUAAAAGCACAUAAUAUUGAUAAAUAAAUUUGACAUUCGAAAAAUAAAAUAUUGAAUUUUACUAUUCGUAUUUUAGAUCUGAUCGUAAUAAUGUGCACAAAGGCUUUUAAUACCAUGGCCAGCUAAACACUUUGUAUCGUCGUAGAUACCUUGGCAAACUUGAAGAAGCGCACAAAAAUUAUCGCAAAAUUGAAAGAUCUUCAUAAAUGCUGAUAUUUAUAAUUAUCAACUGCGAUGAAGCAUAUAAAAGAUAAUUAUUCUGUUUGACCAUUUUGAGGAUUAGUUUUGAAAUAGUUAGUAUCAAGCAAAUAUGCCCGAUAUGCCUGAAUAAUAUUCCAUACAUUUGUGCCAUAUUCAAAUCUGAAUCACACAUGUCCCUAUAAUCACGAUAUUAUAUUGGAGAAGUUGCCAGUACAAUAUAUAAACAAUGUGGUAAAGAACUUUAUUCCCGCUGGAUAAUAUUACUUGAACGUAACCCUUUAUAAUGACAACAUUCCUCGUACUAAUCUCAAUGUCUACUUUACAAAAUAUUAAUUUACCUAUUGUCAACUUUGCAAAAACAUACAGUCUUUAAGUCAAUUUUAAAUGGUUCAGUUAUUCAAAUAAAUUCUUAUGUAUAUU